rnacentral:rRNA from 1 species
CGUAGGUAAUCUACCCUAGAGUCUGGAAUAACCUGCCGAAAGGCGGGCUAAUACUGGAUAGAGCGACGGAAUCCGCAAUUGGGUUUUUCGGGAAAGGGAGGGAAUGAAAUCCCCCUCGCUUUAGGAUGAGCCUGCGUCUCAUUAGCUAGUUGGUAAGGUAAUGGCUUACCAAGGCAUUGAUGGGUAGCUGGUCUGAGAGGAUGGUCAGCCACACUGGAACUGAAACACGGUCCAG